rnacentral:rRNA from 1 species
GGGGUAAGUUCCGACCUGCACGAAAGGCGUAACGAUUUGGAUACUGUCUCGGAGAGAGGCUCGGCGAAAUAGACUUGUCUGUGAAGAUGCGGACUACCUGCACCUGGACAGAAAGACCCUAUGAAGCUUUACUGUAACUUGGAAUUGACUUUAAACUUUAUUUGCGUAGGAUAGGUGGGAGGCUGAGAAGAAAAUCUUCUGGGGUUUUUGGAGCCGUCCUUGAAAUACCACCCUAAUAAUGUGAGAAUUCUAACUUUUCACUGUAAACCAGUUGAAGGACAUUUCCAGGCGGUCAGUUUGACUGGGGCGGUCGCCUCCCAAAGAGUAACGGAGGCGCGCGAAGGUUGGCUCAGAGCGGUCGGAAAUCGCUCGUUGAGUGCAAUGGCAGAAGCCAGCCUGACUGCAAGACUGACACGUCGAGCAGAGUCGAAAGACGGCCAUAGUGAUCCGGUGGUCCCGAGUGGAAGGGCCAUCGCUCAACGGAUAAAAGGUACGCUGGGGAUAACAGGCUGAUGAUGCCCAAGAGUCCAUAUCGACGGCAUCGUUUGGCACCUCGAUGUCGGCUCAUCUCAUCCUGGGGCUGAAGCAGGUCCCAAGGGUAUGGCUGUUCGCCAUUUAAAGAGGUACGCGAGCUGGGUUUAGAACGUCGUGAGACAGUUCGGUCCCUAUCCGCUGCGCGCGUAGGAAAUUUGAGAGGAUCUGACCCUAGUACGAGAGGACCGGGUUGGACGAACCUCUGGUGUGCCAGUUGUUCUGCCAAGAGCACCGCUGGUUAGCUACGUUCGGGAUGGAUAACCGCUGAAAGCAUCUAAGCGGGAAGCCGGCCUCAAGAUGAGAUUUCCAUGCCUUCGGGCGAGAGGCUCCCAGCCAGACUACUGGGUUGAUAGGCCGGAUGUGGAAGCGCGGUAACGCGUGAAGCUGACCGGUACUAAUAGGCCGAUGACUUG